CAGGCUCUUCCACUCCCUCUUUCUUUGCUGCUGCCUCCAAGUGAGCACUCACCAACUCAGAGUUGUCUCUGCACUUGGUUGUUUUUUUAUCCUACAUGCUGCUUGUUUAUUUAAACAGUCUAUUUAAUCAGUCUAUUUGCUAGGUUUGUUUAGGCAGCUUAAUUGCUGGAUUUAUUUAGGCAGGGUUCUUGCUGGGUUUAUCUAGGCAGUCGAUUGCUGGGUUUAUCUAGGCAGUCGAUUGCUGGGUUUAUCUAGGCAGUCUAUUGCUGGGUUUAGCUAGGCAGUCUAUUCUGUGUUAUUUCCUAUACCACUUCAUGCUAUCUAGCUGCUGUAUCACUUGUUAACAUCUGUUGCUGUAUUUAGGCUAUUUAUCUGAUAGAUUUUGUAUACUGCUCAUUGAUUUAUUGUUAUUCUGGGUUACUUUAUGUAGUUUUUCUCACUCUGCUGUAUGGGGAAUGGGUGUCCCUGCUAUGAUGCUUUGGCUCUGCCUGUAAUCUGUUUCCCCUCCCUGGGUUCCCCUGCUGGGCUCUGUCGCCC